rnacentral:rRNA from 1 species
GACGAACGCUGGCGGCGUGCCUAAUACAUGCAAGUCGAGCGAAGCGGCGGUUGGGUGAGUAACGCGUGGGUAACCUGCCCAUAAGUCUGGGAUACCAUUUGGAAACAGAUGCUAUUACCGGAAACUAAAGGAUGGACCUGCGUUGACUUAGCUCGUUGGUAAGGUAACGGCUUACAAAGGAGAUGAUGCAGAGCCGAGUUGAUGGUAUGAUCGGCCACAUUGGGACUGAGCCCCGGCCCAAACUCCUACGUGAGGCAGCAGUAGGGACUCUACCACAAUGGACGAAAGUCUGAUUGAGCAACGCCGCGUGACUGAAGAAGGUUUUCGGAUCGUAAAGCUCUGUUGUUGGUGAAGCGGUAAUCAACCAGAAAGUCACGGCUAACUACGUGCCAGCAGCCGCGGUAAGAG